rnacentral:lncRNA from 1 species
CCUCAGGUGACUCCUAUCUCAUUUUUGGCUUCUCAGGUCGACUUGAUCUCUGGGAUGAAACAAAGCUUGACUCCCAGAAAGCUGAAGAAAGAAGUCUAAAGUUUGUUUGAAGCUCUGGUGAAGACUUCCACAGACAGCUUCUACCUUCUUUCCAGUCCAUGGAAUCUAAGACUUCUAUGAGGAUCAGGCUAUACAAAUAGAAUCUUUACACUGGCAAAUUGCACCUAUUGUUGUUGGGGUGCAUCUGAAGACUGACGCAGAAACAGAUCCUGGAUCUGGAGGUGGGGCGAUGAAAUGUGAUAAAACUAGGAAACAUGAAGGAAGACACCGUAUUGGGUUUUAUUAUUACUUGGCUCCCAGUGAAGAAGCUUUAAUCAUGAAUGUUAACAUACAACGUUCAGUGAAGUUGCAAGAUGUGGCAGUCAUGGUAGUGAAGAAGUGGUACGGUGUAUACUUGGAGUCCAGGAUCUAACAACUGUUUGGCUUGUAUGAUGUAUUUUAUAAGCUUUUUAUUCUGUUUAUUUCUUCUUCCUAAGGAAAGACUGAUUCCAGUUGUUCCUCCGUGAACUGUGCCGAAUUCCUGCCCGAAUUGUGGUCACUGAAGGUACAUAAGGCAAAAUUCUGUAAGGAUAAAAUGAAAGAAAAUGCCAGUAGAAUGAUUCCUGGAAUGGUCUUCACCCCCUGAACUCUCUUUUGAUAGUCAGGGCCACUGAAAGUUCCCCACACAAUCUGGAGGCUUUGAGAGGAGAGGAAAAAGAAGCUGAGAAGAGUUAACAUUGGUUGUAUGCUGUGGUUUAGUGGUGGCUGAAGAGGCGGUGAGAUGUGACUGUGGAGAUACAUACUGCUAAACUGCCUUGUGCUGGGAAGCCCUGUUGGGCCACAGGAGGACUUGUGGCUCUUGCCGGUAAUGCCUCCAAGGAGAAUUAAGGAGAUGUCUAGAAAAUAGGUUACUACAGAGGUAGGUUGCAGACUUGUAUACCUUGGUAGCUAAGACUAAGGAGCACAAAGGGUCUGAAGCCUUACUGAACUCAUGUUCUCUAUGAAAGAUAGAUUUCUUGAUGACAGGAGCACUGGACUGUGUAUUUGUCACUUAUUUGUUAGGUAGUUUCGGACAAGAGAAAAACAAUUUGACAUGUCCACAUUCUCAUCUGUAGAAUGAACAUCUUAUGUGAUUUCUUUAUGGCACGUGUGAUCUGAUCACCAUUAGUGAGAGACGAGUGUCUUCACUGAGAUGCAUGUCUACUGCUUACUGAUGUAUAGAAGCUUUCAGAUGGUUUGUACUCCUGCACCACAUAACCACUUGGGUACAUAUUUUCUUGCUGUUGCAGAAUUCCUUUAACUUUGGAUAAAAUUGCAGUCUGCCUUCCUGAAUAACAAUGCGGAGUUAGAGACAUAUUCUGUCUGUAAUACCUUGGAUUUGAGGAAAAUGCAUUUAAAAACAAACCCAAAUUCACAUAAAUGUUUUAAAAGUC